AGCAGCCGCGGUAAUUCCAGCUCCAAUAGCGUAUAUUAAAGUUGUUGCAGUUAAAAAGCUCGUAGUUGAAUUUCGGGGUUAGUAGGUUGGUCAUGCCUCCGGUAUGUACUGGUCUCACUGACUCCUCCUUCCUGAUGAACCGUAAUGCCAUUAAUUUGGUGUUGCGGGGAAUUUGGACUGUUACUUUGAAAAAUUAGAGUGUUUAAAGCAAGCUAACGCUUGAAUACAUUAGCAUGGAAUAAUGAAAUAGGACGUUCGAUCCUAUUUUGUUGGUUUCUAGGAUUGACGUAAUGAUUAAUAGGGAUAGUUGGGGGCAUUAGUAUUCAAUUGUCAGAGGUGAAAUUCUUGGAUUUAUUGAAGACUAACUACUGCGAAAGCAUUUGCCAAGGAUGUUUUCAUUAAUCAAGAACGAAAGUUAGGGGAUCGAAGACGAUCAGAUACCGUCGUAGU
rnacentral:rRNA from 1 species